AGAGUUUGAUCCUGGCUCAGGACGAACGCUGGCGGCGUGCCUAAUACAUGCAAGUCGAGCGGACAGAUGGGAGCUUGCUCCCUGAUGUUAGCGGCGGACGGGUGAGUAACACGUGGGUAACCUGCCUGUAAGACUGGGAUAACUCCGGGAAACCGGGGCUAAUACCGGAUGCUUGUUUGAACCGCAUGGUUCAAACAUAAAAGGUGGCUUCGGCUACCACUUACAGAUGGACCCGCGGCGCAUUAGCUAGUUGGUGAGGUAACGGCUCACCAAGGCAACGAUGCGUAGCCGACCUGAGAGGGUGAUCGGCCACACUGGGACUGAGACACGGCCCAGACUCCUACGGGAGGCAGCAGUAGGGAAUCUUCCGCAAUGGACGAAAGUCUGACGGAGCAACGCCGCGUGAGUGAUGAAGGUUUUCGGAUCGUAAAGCUCUGUUGUUAGGGAAGAACAAGUACCGUUCGAAUAGGGCGGUACCUUGACGGUACCUAACCAGAAAGCCACGGCUAACUACGUGCCAGCAGCCGCGGUAAUACGUAGGUGGCAAGCGUUGUCCGGAAUUAUUGGGCGUAAAGGGCUCGCAGGCGGUUUCUUAAGUCUGAUGUGAAAGCCCCCGGCUCAACCGGGGAGGGUCAUUGGAAACUGGGGAACUUGAGUGCAGAAGAGGAGAGUGGAAUUCCACGUGUAGCGGUGAAAUGCGUAGAGAUGUGGAGGAACACCAGUGGCGAAGGCGACUCUCUGGUCUGUAACUGACGCUGAGGAGCGAAAGCGUGGGGAGCGAACAGGAUUAGAUACCCUGGUAGUCCACGCCGUAAACGAUGAGUGCUAAGUGUUAGGGGGGUUUCCGCCCCUUUACUGCUGCAGCUAACGCAUUAAGCACUCCCGCCUGGGGGAGUACGGUCGCAAGACUGAAACUCAAAGGAAUUGACGGGGGCCCGCACAAGCCGGUGGAGCAUGUGGUUUAAUUCGAAGCAACGCGAAGAACCUUACCAGGUCUUGACAUCCUCUGACAAUCCUAGAGCAUAGGACGUCCCCCUUCGGGGGCAGAGCUGACAGGGUGGGUGCCAUGGGUUGUUCGUCAGCUCGUGUCGUGAGAUGUUGGGUUAAGUCCCGCAACGAGCGCAACCCUUGAUCUUAGUUGCCAGCAUUCAGUUGGGCACUCUAAGGUGACUGCCGGUGACAAACCGGAGGAAGGUGGGGAUGACGUCAAAUCAUCAUGCCCCUUAUGACCUGGGCUACACACGUGCUACAAUGGACAGAACAAAGGGCAGCGAAACCGCGAGGUUAAGCCAAUCCCACAAAUCUGUUCUCAGUUCGGAUCGCAGUCUGCAACUCGACUGCGUGAAGCUGGAAUCGCUAGUAAUCGCGGAUCAGCAUGCCGCGGUGAAUACGUUCCCGGGCCUUGUACACACCGCCCGUCACACCACGAGAGUUUGUAACACCCGAAGUCGGUGAGGUAACCUUUUAGGAGCCAGCCGCCGAAGGUGGGACAGAUGAUUGGGGUGAAGUCGUAACAAGGUAACC
rnacentral:rRNA from 1 species